rnacentral:rRNA from 1 species
AAUAGAUACCCGGGUAGUCCACGCCGUAAACGAUGAGUGCUAAGUGUUAGAGGGUUUCCGCCCGUUUAGUGCUGCAGCUAACGCACUAAGCACUCCGCCUGGGGAGUACGGCCGCAAGGCUGAAACUCAAAGGAAUUGACGGGGGCCCGCACAAGCGGUGGAGCAUGUGGUUUAAUUCGAAGCAACGCGAAGAACCUUACCAGGUCUUGACAUCCUCUGCCAACCCUAGAGAUAGGGCGUUCCCCUUCGGGGGACAGAGUGACAGGUGGUGCAUGGUUGUCGUCAGCUCGUGUCGUGAGAUGUUGGGUUAAGUCCCGCAACGAGCGCAACCCUUGAUCUUAGUUGCCAGCAUUCAGUUGGGCACUCUAAGGUGACUGCCGGUGACAAACCGGAGGAAGGUGGGGAUGACGUCAAAUCAUCAUGCCCCUUAUGACCUGGGCUACACACGUGCUACAAUGGAUGGUACAAAGAGCUGCGAACCCGUGAGGGUAAGCGAAUCUCAUAAAGCCAUUCUCAGUUCGGAUUGUAGG